rnacentral:rRNA from 1 species
CCUACGGGGGACAGCAGUGAGGAAUAUUGGUCAAUGGACGAGAGUCUGAACCAGCCAAGUAGCGUGAAGGAUGACUGCCCUAUGGGUUGUAAACUUCUUUUAUAUGGGAAUAAAACGUUCCACGUGUGGGCUUUUGUAUGUACCAUAUGAAUAAGGCUCGGCGAACUCCGUGCCAGCAGCCGCGGUAAUACGGAGGAUUCGAGCGUUAUCCGGAUUUAUUGGGUUUAAAGGGAGCGUAGGUGGAUUUAUAAGGCAGUUGUGAAAGUUUGCGGCUCAACCGUAAAAUUGCAGUUGAAACUGGCAGUCUUGAGUACAGUAGAGGUGAGCGGAAGUCGUGGUGUAGCGGUGAAAUGCUUAGAUAUCACGAAGAACUCCGAUUGCGAAGGCAGCUUACUAAACUGCCACUGACAUUGAUGCUCGAAAGUGUGGGUAUCAAACAGGAUUAGAUACCCUGGUAGUC